CCUACGGGAGGCAGCAGUGGGGAAUAUUGCACAAUGGGGGAAACCCUGAUGCAGCGAAGCCGCGUGGAGGAAGAAGGUUUUCGGAUUGUAAACUCCUUUUAUCAGGGACGCAAAUGACGGUACCUGAAGAAAAAGCGCCGGCUAAAUACGGUCCAGCAGCCGCGGUAAGUCGGAGGGAUCGAGCGUUGACAGGAAUUACUGGGUGUAAAGGGAGCGUAGGCGGGACGGCAAGUCAGAUGGGAAAAAUGAGGGGUCAACUUUCGACCUGCAUUUGAAACUGCUGUUCUUGAGUGAAGUAGAGGUAAGCGGAAUGCCUAGUGUAGCGGUGAAAUGCGUAGAUAUUAGGAGGAACAUCGGUGGCGAAGGCGGCUUACUGGGCUUUUACUGACGCUGAGGCUCGAAAGCGUGGGGAGCAAACAGGAUUAGAUACCCGGGUAGUC
rnacentral:rRNA from 1 species